rnacentral:rRNA from 1 species
AUGGCAAAAGAUUACCUGAUUGAGCAUCCAUUUCAACCCCACAGCAGCCGUGCACUCAUUUUUAGCGGCACUGCUGACCCAGUCGAGAUUGUACAAUUUAUCGAGUGUUUGUGUGAUGGCCGUGACAUUGCUACGCCUGUCUUUGACAGAGAAAAUCUCUCCAUUGGAGCUAAUAUUCUCGUGGCUAUUCAACAAGGUUUCAAACCAUCCACUUCCCGACCUCUGCAUCGACAAGAUAGCAAAGAAUCUAACUGGUGUGCAUGCACAUUCUUUCCUAACAAAGAAACAAACAGAAGAAUAAGUUACUCACCAGCCUUAAAACGCAAAAUCAGAUGCCCAAGUGUAUCUAUCUAUCUCCAUACCUACUAUAAGUAUUGGGUGUGGGGAAGUGCACCAAAGGGAUCUCGGUCUCUGGAAUUCCGGGGUGGUGGCAAGGUUGCUCCCGUUCUUUCUCUAUCAUGUUGGUCUGCCUGA